rnacentral:rRNA from 1 species
AACGAACGCUGGCGGCAGGCCUAACACAUGCAAGUCGAACGGAUCCUUCGGGAUUAGUGGCGGACGGGUGAGUAACACGUGGGAACGUGCCCUUUGGUUCGGAACAACUCAGGGAAACUUGAGCUAAUACCGGAUGUGCCCUUCGGGGGAAAGAUUUAUCGCCAUUGGAGCGGCCCGCGUCUGAUUAGCUAGUUGGUGGGGUAAAGGCCCACCAAGGCGACGAUCAGUAGCUGGUCUGAGAGGAUGAUCAGCCACAUUGGGACUGAGACACGGCCCAAACUCCUACGGGAGGCAGCAGUGGGGAAUCUUGCGCAAUGGGCGAAAGCCUGACGCAGCCAUGCCGCGUGAAUGAUGAAGGUCUUAGGAUUGUAAAGUUCUUUCACCGGGGACGAUAAUGACGGUACCCGGAGAAGAAGCCCCGGCUAACUUCGUGCCAGCCGCCGCUGUAAGAC